rnacentral:rRNA from 1 species
AGUGAACGCUGGCGGCAGGCCUAAUACAUGCAAGUCGAACGGCAGCACAGCAGAGCUUGCUCUGUGGGUGGCGAGUGGCGGACGGGUGAGGAAUACAUGGGAAUCUGCCCAGUCGUGGGGGAUAACGUAGGGAAACUUACGCUAAUACCGCAUGCGCCCUUCGGGGGAAAGCCGGGGACCUUCGGGCCUGGCGCGAUUGGAUGAGCCCAUGUCGGAUUAGCUAGUUGGCGGGGUAAUGGCCCACCAAGGCGACGAUCCGUAGCUGGUCUGAGAGGAUGAUCAGCCACACUGGAACUGAGACACGGUCCAGACUCCUACGGGAGGCAGCAGUAGGGAAUAUUGGACAAUGGGCGCAAGCCUGAUCCAGCCAUGCCGCGUGAGUGAAGAAGGCCCUCGGGUUGUAAAGCUCUUUUGUCCGGAAAGAAAAGCGCCGGGUUAAUACCCUAGUGUCCUGACGGUACCGGAAGAAUAAGCACCGGCUAACUUCGUGCCAGCAGCCGC